rnacentral:lncRNA from 1 species
AUGAAGUUAAAGAAAUUGAAAGUUUCUUUUCAUUUUUCAUAUAUAUAUAUGCAGUAUUCUAUAAAAUCAGUAUUUGUCAAAUCGUCAAGUCCCAAGUGUAUGUAAAAGAUAAAGUAUAUGUUUCUUUUUUAAAAGGCUUUUUUAUUAAAUUAAAAUAGAUAUUAUUUGGUAAAAUAGCCUUCUUAGAACCAUCCCUCCCCAUAUGAAUACUUUGUACGAGUAAUUUUGCACAAAUCAAAUAGAAAAGUGAUCCUUGUCCUUAUUUUAAAAAAAAAAUCUUCCUUCACUCCAACUUUCACUUUAAUUUAACAGCAUUAAUUCAUAUUAUAUUUGAAAUUGAAACCAUGUCACAUCGAAUAUAUAUAUAUGCAAAGCUUUGUAAAUUUAUAGUUGGCUUACAAAACCACCAAUUAUGUAAAUGUAUGCUCCAGUUUAGGCCAAAUAAAUGACAAAUGAGGGUGUUUUUGUUUUGCUUUACCAUGUAACCCUUGUUGCCAGUGCUGAACUUUCUGAUUUUUGGUUCUUUAUCUAACUACAUUUACAAGUCCAGGGCUUACAGUAAAAAAAAAAACUGUUGAAUAAGAUUAUUUUACUCCAGACUCAAAAAUCAAACAAUUAAAAACUAGAUUUCUUGUUUUUGAACAUAAUCCCGAGUGCUGACUAAAGUGUUAUGAUUGAAAGUUCAGAUACAUGCUAAAUUUCAUGUACAAAUGUUAAUCCAUCUACCAGGUUUUUUUUAAUCGUUUGCCAUAAAAAAAAAACUCACUUGUAUUGUUUUGACCAAAGGAGGGACCUUAGAGAAAUAUGUAUUCUAUUUAUUGUUGUCUGUUGUAUGAUGCCAGUAUUUAUUUGUUUGUUUGUUGAUUUAUAUAUUUAUUUAUUGCACUCUAUACUUUACACAGUAUUAAAGAAUUAAAUAUUUAUUUUGUAUACCAAAAAAUGUGUUUGUGCUGUAGUUGGAAGUUAGCAAAUUUGCAGAGAGGUUUAUAAUUCUAUCGUUCUUUUUUUCUCCUUAAUUGAGAGAGAUGUCUAUUUGAAAUUAGGCCAUAUGAGAAAUCUUGAUUUUUACACCAUAUUUAAGUGAUUAGGAAUCUUUAUUUUACAUGAAUUACAAGUAUGCAAGUAAGAAUAAAAUGAAAUAGAUGUUACUUGCAUGAAACAUUCCCUGUAUAUAAAAUCAUUCUCAAAUGUUUGAGGAUUGCAUACAAAGAAAGGCAUAUAAAAGUAAAAAAGAUAGAAAGUGGAGAAAAGGAAUUUAUCUAAACACAUUUUUCAUAUGGCUUAAUAUAUAUCUAUGUAAAUAUUCAAAGUUAUUUAUAAGACACAAAGAGUCUGGAUAUAUUGAGGUAUAAAUAUAUUGACAUCUGUGAAUGUUUGUUUGUAUGAAAUGUAAGCUACUUAAUAGUUGAAAAUGUCUAGUAAAAAAUGUCUGGUGGAGAGUUGUCUCAUUGGCUAUCGUACCAUUUUGUCUUAUUUCAUAAUGUUUUGAAUCAAUAUAUAACAAAUUAAAAUGAUAAUAGGAUAAAUUGAAUUUCCAAUUUGCAAUGUUUAAAAUAUACAUAAAUGGACUAAAAAGACAAUAGAUUGAACAAAAGUAUCAGUCUGCUUACUUUUUUUUGUUUAUAUCUUUUGAUAUCUAAGUAUUACAGUGUAACCGGUGUAAUCUGACACACUGGGGGACCAGAAAAUAAUGUUGGAUUAAACAGGAUGUCCAAAUACUCAGGUUUUAUCUGCAAGGAUAGGUAUAUUUUGGGACCAUAAAAAUGUGUUGGUUAAAUCAGGAUGUUGGAAUAUUCAGAUUAGGCAGGUUACACUGUAAUACCAUUCUGCCAAUACAUUGUUCUAAUCUGCUAAUUUGAGAUACUUUGGGAAAGAAACUGCUGAUUUUAAAUUCAAUAUUUGUUUAUUAUUAAGACUGUGGAUAUACAUGUAAUAUAACUCUACAUUAAUUGUUUGUGUUGAAGGGUGUGUUUGACUUAAGUACUAGUUACAUAGUGUUUGAACUAAUGUAUGUGUGUAUUCAUUUAUGAUGAUCUUUGACAUAUUUUCCUUUGCAUUCCAUAACUUUCAAAGAAUUAUAAAAAAUACAGACAUUCUUAAGAGGUGACUCUUUAAAAAUACUGAUAUUAAAAGAGGCAAUAACUCUUAUAGACGCUUUCAAACAAAAAGUAAACAUGUGUUUAGGAAGUCAAAUUUUGCGUAAAUUUCUCUCAUUAGACUAUGCAUUUUACAUUCAACCCACCAACAGAUCUGUUAGUUAUAUCAAAUUGAAAUAUUUAAUUUUUUAUAUUUAUAUAAUACAAAAAGUACAUUGUUAUCAAAAAUUGUUUGUGAGAGGAUCUCAUUCAUAACAAAUUAAGCCAUUUUAACAGUUAUAUGAUUUGCAAAUUACAAAAUCUCCAAUAAUGUUGUGUGAGAGGGCAUUUUGUUUGUAUCUAUUUUAAAUGUUAUAAGAAAGUUAUAUAAACCAGUUUUUGUUUUCAUAGAUGUGUAAACAAACCAUUGUAGUUCUAACAGAGUUUUCUUUGUUAUUAAACAGACAUUCCAUAACAGCCAGGGUUGUGGAAUUAAAUUUAUAUGUGUGUUACUAGUUUAUUUGGCCUUUAUUCCUUCAAGAUAUACAUGUUAAGGUAGGAUUACCCACAACUAUUCCAUAAUAGUCAGAGUGGUGAGAUUUAAAUAGAUAAUAAGAGAGGCG